ensembl:lncRNA
UCCAAUUAUAAUAUUUCCAUUUUGUAUUUUCCAUAAUAAAAUUUCACAAUAAUACAGAACUUAACCUUAAAAUGUACAGUUUUAUAAAUUAGAGGGAGAAAAACAAUCCUAAUGUAUAUGCAUGAAACCCUCAGGCAAUUGCAGGAUUAAAAAAAAAAGUUUCUAUGUACUGUAUUUUUCAAGAGAACAUUAAGCAGCUCUGAUGCCAUUUCAUUAAAAACAGUGUUUUAAAAGUUUGCCUCUGAAUAUACAUUUCAGGUGAAAUGUACCAUAUACCUGCUUCCUCCUGAAUACCUGCUUCCUCCUGUUACAAUUUCAGUCUAUUCUGUCUAAAUAACAAAUAUCUAAAUAAUGCAAAUUCUGAUCUGAAACUCAAUCUGUAAUAUCCUCCCUCAAACCUCCCCCAAAGCACCAACGCUCAGGUUGGAUGAACUACUCUUCAUGGUCGUAUUAGACAACCGUGGUGUUUUAAAUCUUUUCAGUGUAGCUAACCCAGAGCUGUUUCGGUUACCCUCUGUACCCACCCUCUAAAUGGGCAACCUUGCCUUGGGGCUGAGCCACCGUUUGGAGUUGGGCCGACUGCUGGAGUGGAAUGAUAUCCUGCCGCAGCCUCCCGCAGAGCCAAACCUACAGCUGCUAGUGUCAGGCGAGCCCCCUCGGUUCCCACAUUCCUAGCGGCAUGCUUUAGUCUGGACGGAGGUAAUCCAGCACCAUGAAUCCGGUUGCAACAUUCCAGCAGCUCAAAUUCUACAUUUUGAAGAUUUCUGGAAAUCCAGCCAGUUUAAGUUGUGAAAACUACAAGUUUUGAACAUUUUUGAAUUGCAUGGGGAUUAAAGGCUGUGUUCAAUCUCUUAGGGAGAACAUGAGGUUUUAGGCCAUACCUCCCGAAUGUCCCUGGUUCUAAUCCCCCCGACUGCCAAGGUGAGAGCUACGUUUUUCUUAACUUAUGUCCCUGAGCAAUUAGCCCUAAUUGGUCCUCCAUCCCUGUAAAAUUCCCUCCAGGUUGUUUCUGUAAAUAUGAAUGGGUUCUUAAUCAACUCGCUGGGUUAAAUAAAUAAAAUACAAUUCCAG